CCUACGGGAGGCAGCAGUGGGGGAUAUUGCACAAUGGGGGGAACCCUGAUGCAGCGACGCCGCGUGGGUGAAGGAGUGCUUCGGCAUGUAAAGCCCUAUCGGCAGGGAAGAAGCAAGACGGUACCUGACUAAGAAGCCCCGGCUAACUACGUGCCAGCAGCCGUGGUAAUACGUAGGGGGCGAGCGUUAUCCGGAUUCACUGGGUGUAAAGGGAGCGUAGACGGCCAAGCAAGCCAGGGGUGAAAGCCCGGGGCCCAACCCCGGGACUGCCCUUGGAACUGCAUGGCUGGAGUGCGGGAGGGGCAGGCGGAAUUCCUGGUGUAGCGGUGAAAUGCGUAGAUAUCAGGAGGAACACCGGUGGCGAAGGCGGCCUGCUGGACUGUGACUGACGUUGAGGCCCGAAGGCGUGGGGAGCAAACAGGAUUAGAUACCCCUGUAGUC
rnacentral:rRNA from 1 species